UGCAGCACAGACUGCUUCCCACUGUGGCAGUGGCUGCCUGUUGCAGCCCCACCCUUCUUCCCAUGGAGCACUAAUAUGGCACCAGCUAUCUGCUGUGAUGUGAAGAAACUUCCACAGCCUGGAGCCAGGAUUUCCAUAGCUCUGGAAAGAGGGGUUCAAUGACUGACCAGAAAUCCAACCUGAAAAAUGUACUAAUUCUUCUCCAGCCACCACAAAUGUAAAAGAGAUAACUGGUAUUUCUUAUUACUUGCAUGUGAGAUAAACUCACAAUAAGAUGAGAAAAGUGACAAGAACCAAGCCACAACUCCUGUGUUGUCUUUGAUUACCUGACAGAAGCAUUUGAUUUUAUUAACUGAGCAGAUAUGGGGGAAACCUCAUCCAGAGGAAUUUUAUAAACAUCGUUUACUUAUUGCACAGGGAAAGUAUGGCAAAAGUUUAAGAGAAAUGUCAAAGGCAUUUACUGUAACUAAUAACAUUAAA